CCUACGGGAGGCAGCAGUGGGGAAUAUUGCACAAUGGGCGCAAGCCUGAUGCAGCCAUGCCGCGUGUGUGAAGAAGGCCUUCGGGUUGUAAAGCACUUUCAGCGGGGAGGAAGGCGGUGAGGUUAAUAACCUCAUCGAUUGACGUUACCCGCAGAAGAAGCACCGGCUAACUCCGUGCCAGCAGCCGCGGUAAUACGGAGGGUGCAAGCGUUAAUCGGAAUUACUGGGCGUAAAGCGCACGCAGGCGGUCUGCCAAGUCGGAUGUGAAAUCCCCGGGCUCAACCUGGGAACUGCAUUCGAAACUGGCAGGCUAGAGUCUUGUAGAGGGGGGUAGAAUUCCAGGUGUAGCGGUGAAAUGCGUAGAGAUCUGGAGGAAUACCGGUGGCGAAGGCGGCCCCCUGGACAAAGACUGACGCUCAGGUGCGAAAGCGUGGGGAGCAAACAGGAUUAGAUACCCUAGUAGUC
rnacentral:rRNA from 1 species